ACGAACGCUGGCGGCGUGCUUAACACAUGCCAGUCGAACGGUGAAGCGCCUUCCUUUUUGGUGGGUGUGGAUGAGUGGCGAACGGGUGAGUAACACGUGAGUAACCUGCCCCCUUCUUCUGGAUAACCGCAUGAAAGUGUGGCUAAUACGGGAUAUUCUGGGUCUGUCGCAUGAUGGGUCUGGGAAAGAUAUUGUUUCGGUGGGGGAUGGGCUCGCGGCCUAUCAGCUUGUUGGUGGGGUGAUGGCCUACCAAGGCGGUGACGGGUAGCCGGCCUGAGAGGGUGGACGGUCACACUGGGACUGAGACACGGCCCAGACUCCUACGGGAGGCAGCAGUGGGGAAUAUUGCACAAUGGGCGCAAGCCUGAUGCAGCGACGCCGCGUGAGGGAUGGGGGCCUUCGGGUUGUGAACCUCUUUCGCCAGUGAAGCAGGCCUGCCUCGUUUGUGGGUGGGUUGACGGUAGCUGGAUAAGAAGCGCCGGCUAACUACGU
rnacentral:rRNA from 1 species